GAUGAACGCUGGCGGCGUGCCUAAUACAUGCAAGUCGAGCGAACGGACGAGAAGCUUGCUUCUCUGAUGUUAGCGGCGGACGGGUGAGUAACACGUGGAUAACCUACCUAUAAGACUGGGAUAACUUCGGGAAACCGGAGCUAAUACCGGAUGAUAUUUUGAACCGCAUGGUUCAAAAGUGAAAGACGGUCUUGCUGUCACUUAUAGAUGGAUCCGCGCUGCAUUAGCUAGUUGGUAAGGUAACGGCUUACCAAGGCAACGAUGCAUAGCCGACCUGAGAGGGUGAUCGGCCACACUGGAACUGAGACACGGUCCAGACUACUACGGGAGGCAGCAGUAGGGAAUCUUCCGCAAUGGGCGAAAGCCUGACGGAGCAACGCCGCGUGAGUGAUGAAGGUCUUCGGAUCGUAAAACUCUGUUAUUAGGGAAGAACAUAUGUGUAAGUAACUGUGCACAUCUUGACGGUACCUAAUCAGAAAGCCACGGCUAACUACGUG
rnacentral:rRNA from 1 species